rnacentral:rRNA from 1 species
GUGGGGAAUCUUGCGCAAUGGGCGAAAGCCUGACGCAGCCAUGCCGCGUGAAUGAUGAAGGUCUUAGGAUUGUAAAAUUCUUUCACCGGGGACGAUAAUGACGGUACCCGGAGAAGAAGCCCCGGCUAACUUCGUGCCAGCAGCCGCGGUAAUACGAAGGGGGCUAGCGUUGCUCGGAAUUACUGGGAGUAAAGGGCGCGUAGGCGGACAGUUUAGUCAGAGGUGAAAGCCCAGGGCUCAACCUUGGAAUUGCCUUUGAUACUGGCUGUCUUGAGUACGGGAGAGGUGAGUGGAACUCCGAGUGUAGAGGUGAAAUUCGUAGAUAUUCGGAAGAACACCAGUGGCGAAGGCGACUCACUGGCCCGUUACUGGCGCUGAGGCGCGAAAGCGUGGGGAGCAAACAGGAUUAGAUACCCUGGUAGUCC